rnacentral:rRNA from 1 species
AAGACCUUGCGCUUUUGGAGCGGCCGAUGCCUGAUUAGCUUGUUGGUAAGGUAAAAGCUUACCAAGGCUUCGAUCAGUAGCUGGUCUGAGAGGACGACCAGCCACACUGGGACUGAGACACGGCCCAGACUCCUACGGGAGGCAGCAGUGGGGAAUUUUGGACAAUGGGGGCAACCCUGAUCCAGCCAUGCCGCGUGAGUGAAGAAGGCCUUCGGGUUGUAAAGCUCUUUCAGCCGGAACGGAACGGUUACGGUUAAUACCCGUGACUACUGACGGUACCGGAAGAAGAAGCACCGGCUAACUACGUGCCAGCAGCCGCGGUAAUACGUAGGGUGCGAGCGUUAAUCGGAAUUACUGGGCGUAAAGCGUGCGCAGGUGGUUUUGUAAGUCAGAUGUGAAAGCCCCGGGCUCAACCUGGGAACU